GGGUUGUGAGGUUAAGCGACUAAGCGUACACGGUGGAUGCCCUGGCAGUCAGAGGCGAUGAAGGACGUGCUAAUCUGCGAUAAGCGUCGGUAAGGUGAUAUGAACCGUUAUAACCGGCGAUUUCCGAAUGGGGAAACCCAGUGUGAUUCGUCACACUAUCAUUAACUGAAUCCAUAGGUUAAUGAGGCGAACCGGGGGAACUGAAACAUCUAAGUACCCCGAGGAAAAGAAAUCAACCGAGAUUCCCCCAGUAGCGGCGAGCGAACGGGGAGCAGCCCAGAGCCUGAAUCAGUGUGUGUGUUAGUGGAAGCGUCUGGAAAGGCGCGCGAUACAGGGUGACAGCCCCGUACACAAAAAUGCACAUACUGUGAGCUCGAUGAGUAGGGCGGGACACGUGGUAUCCUGUCUGAAUAUGGGGGGACCAUCCUCCAAGGCUAAAUACUCCUGACUGACCGAUAGUGAACCAGUACCGUGAGGGAAAGGCGAAAAGAACCCCGGCGAGGGGAGUGAAAAAGAACCUGAAACCGUGUACGUACAAGCAGUGGGAGCACGCUUAGGCGUGUGACUGCGUACCUUUUGUAUAAUGGGUCAGCGACUUAUAUUCUGUAGCAAGGUUAACCGAAUAGGGGAGCCGAAGGGAAACCGAGUCUUAACUGGGCGUUAAGUUGCAGGGUAUAGACCCGAAACCCGGUGAUCUAGCCAUGGGCAGGUUGAAGGUUGGGUAACACUAACUGGAGGACCGAACCGACUAAUGUUGAAAAAUUAGCGG
rnacentral:rRNA from 1 species